rnacentral:rRNA from 1 species
AUUGAACGCUGGCGGCAUGCUUUACACAUGCAAGUCGAACGGUAACAGGUCUUCGGAUGCUGACGAGUGGCGAACGGGUGAGUAAUGCAUCGGAACGUGCCCAGUCGUGGGGGAUAACGCAGCGAAAGCUGUGCUAAUACCGCAAACGAUCUAUGGAUGAAAGCGGGGGACCGUAAGGCCUCGCGCGAUUGGAGCGGCCGAUGUCAGAUUAGCUAGUUGGUGGGGCAAAGGCCCACCAAGGCGACGAUCUGUAGCUGGUCUGAGAGGACGACCAGCCACACUGGGACUGAGACACGGCCCAGACUCCUACGGGAGGCAGCAGUGGGGAAUUUUGGACAAUGGGCGCAAGCCUGAUCCAGCAAUGCCGCGUGCAGGAAGAAGGCCUUCGGGUUGUAAACUGCUUUUGUACGGAACGAAACGGUCUGGGUUAAUACCCUGGGCUAAUGACGGUACCGUAAGAAUAAGCACCGGCUAACUACGUGCCAGCCGCCGCCGUAAUAC